AUUGAACGCUGGCGGCAUGCUUUACACAUGCAAGUCGAACGGUAACAGGCCGCAAGGUGCUGACGAGUGGCGAACGGGUGAGUAAUGCAUCGGAACGUGCCCGGUCGUGGGGGAUAACGCAGCGAAAGCUGCGCUAAUACCGCAUACGAUCUAUGGAUGAAAGCGGGGGACCGUAAGGCCUCGCGCGAUUGGAGCGGCCGAUGUCAGAUUAGGUAGUUGGUGGGGUAAAGGCUCACCAAGCCGACGAUCUGUAGCUGGUCUGAGAGGACGACCAGCCACACUGGGACUGAGACACGGCCCAGACUCCUACGGGAGGCAGCAGUGAGGAAUUUUGCGCAAUGGGGGAAACCCUGACGCAGCAACGCCGCGUGAGUGAAGAAGGCUUUCGGGUUGUAAAGCUCUGCCAAGUGGGAAGAAUAGAUCCGGUUGAAUAGGCCGGAAUACUGACGGUACCACUGGAGGAAGCACCGGCUAACUCCGUGCCAGCCGCCGCUGUAACAC
rnacentral:rRNA from 1 species